GUGACCUCAAAUCAGGUAGGACUACCCGCUGAACUUAAGCAUAUCAAUAAGCGGAGGAAAAGAAACUAACAAGGAUUCCCCUAGUAACUGCGAGUGAAGCGGGAAAAGCUCAAAUUUAAAAUCUGUCAGUCUUUGGCUGUCCGAGUUGUAAUCUAGAGAAGUGUUAUCCGCGCUGGACCGUGUACAAGUCUCCUGGAAUGGAGCGUCAUAGAGGGUGAGAAUCCCGUCUUUGACACGGACUGCCAGGGCUUUGUGAUGCGCUCUCAAAGAGUCGAGUUGUUUGGGAAUGCAGCUCAAAAUGGGUGGUAAAUUCCAUCUAAAGCUAAAUAUUGGCGAGAGACCGAUAGCGAACAAGUACCGUGAGGGAAAGAUGAAAAGAACUUUGGAAAGAGAGUUAAACAGUACGUGAAAUUGCUGAAAGGGAAACGCUUGAAGUCAGUCGCGUUAGCCAGGGAUCAACCCUUGCUUUUGCUUGGUGUACUUUCUGGUUGACGGGUCAGCAUCAAUUUUGACUGUUGGAAAAAGAUUAAGGGAAUGUGGCAUCUUCGGAUGUGUUAUAGCCCUUGGUUGCAUACAAUGGUUGGGAUUGAGGAACUCAGCACGCCGCAAGGCCGGGUUUAACCACGUACGUGCUAGGA
rnacentral:rRNA from 1 species